AGAGUUGAGUUGAGAGAUGAGUUGAGUUGAGUUGAGUCGAGUUGAGUUGUUGAGUUCAGUUAGUUUAGUUGGGCCUGAAUAAUGGAGCCAUUUUGUGUACUGGGUAUCCCACUCUUGGACAAUUUCAGCCUUAUUCUACUUACUUUCUUGAUUGGUAGCAUCUGGGUGUUUUUUUCUAGGUAUUGGAGCUGGACACAGGUGGCAGCCAAGACAGAGAGUGAAGAGAUCAAGAAACCCACAGGU
rnacentral:lncRNA from 1 species